CGGGGGGGCGAAGCGUUGUUCGGAAUUAACUGGGGCGGUAAAGGGCUCGUAGGCGGCCAACUAAGUCGGAUGUGAAAUCCCCAGGCUCAACCUGGGAACUGCAUCCGAUACUGGAUGGCUUGAAUCCGGGAGAGGGAUGCAGAAUUCCAGGUGUAGCGGUGAAAUGCGUAGAUAUCUGGAGGAAUACCGGUGGCGAAGGCGGCAUCCUGGACCGGCAUUGACGCUGAGGAGCGAAAGCUAGGGGGAGCAAACGGGAUU
rnacentral:rRNA from 1 species